AUGGAUAUUUCUAACUGUAUUCUACUCAUCCGCGACUCAGGAUCUGAUCGAGGCGAUGCCGUUUUACAGACACCUACUAUGACCACAGUCAUUGAAGGGAAUGAUACGUUGUUGAACUGUAACUAUACUACUACAAUCGCAAGCAAUUUUGCAUUAAUUUGGUACCGUCAGUAUCCCGGCGGAUCUCCAGAGUUCCUUUUGAUACGGAGGAAAUACGAUGGUAACCAAAAUGAAAUUCCAGAUCAACGUUUCACAGCGGAGCUGGAUGUUUCGAAAAGCACUGUCCCACUGACUGUGUCUAAGGCACAACUGGAAGACGCGGCCAUAUAUUUCUGCGCUCUGAGCCACACAAAGGCAUAG